CAGAUCUAUUUGUGUUUACCUCUGGGAGGUUCAGCACACACACAUCUGUACAUACAUUACAUGAAUUAAAAUUUUAUGCAUGGCCACACGUAAAUCAUUUAGAGGCCUUUUGCUGCCACUUCUAUGGUCGACACUUUGGUUUCUUGUCCUCUCAGACCAGCAGGUGGAGGUGAAGGUGAGGGAAGGAUCAGAGUCUGUCAUCCUGCCCUGCAAAACAAAACCCAACCUGCCUGAGAAUACCACAGUGGAGUGGACUCGCUCUGACCUCGGACUCAUCACAGUCCAUGAGUAUUCUAACAGAAAUGAUGACCUUAUGACUCAGGAUGAAGUUUACACAAAUAGAACAAAGAUGAAUGAAGACCUGCUGAGAACUGGAGACCUCAGUCUGACCCUGAAAUACCCCAAAGUCAAAGACACGGGACGAUACAUCUGCAACAUCUACAGGGACAAAGACAUCCUGAGACAGAAAGUCAUGCUGCAGGUCAAAAGUAGGUGCUGGAGAUAAAGGUCAAAGGUCAAUACUGUGGACACAGUUUAGAGAUUAGAAGUCAUUUUUUAUGUUUCCCCACAGAACCAUUUCCAUCCUGGUUCAAAGAUCUUCUGAUUCUCCUGUUUGUCUUUGUGAUUUUUGGAGGUCUUUUAUAUUAUUUACGUCACUAUUACAUGUCAGAUUACCAGGUGGAGGUGGAUUCAGGGGUGGAGUCUGUAAAGCUGCCCUGCAAAACUAUAUUUAAAUUCCUAAAACACACUAAAGUGGAGUGGAGGGACAGAAACAACAGGAAGGUCCACGUGUAUCACAAUGGCUCUGACCAGGUUAGAGAACAGCACCGGUUUUACAGAAACCGAACAGAGAUGAAGAGGAAUUUACUGAAACCUGGAGACCUCAGUCUGACCCUGACGUAUCCCACUGAUGAUGACAACUCCACCUACACCUGCACCGUCUACAGCAGGAAGGGAAACAUACUGGCAACGAAAAAUGUGCAGCUCCAUGUCAGAGUCCCCCAGGUGGAGGUGGAUUCAGGGGAGGCAUCUGUCCUGCUGCCCUGCAAAACUACUAUAAACCUGCCUAAAGAUGCUAAAGUGGAGUGGAUGACCAAAUUCAACAGGAAGGUCCACGUGUAUGAGACCGGAUCUGACCAGCUUGAAGAUCAGGACAACUAUUACAGAGACCGAACACUGAUGAAUAAAGACCUGCUGAAAACUGGAGACCUCAGUCUGACCCUGAAAUACCCCACAGACUGGGACACAGACAUCUACACCUGCACCGUCUACAGCAGGGAGGGAAAAAAAAUCCUGAUGAAACAAGUGGAGCUGAAAGUCAGAGUCUGUCAGGUGGAGGUGGAGGAGGGGGCGGAGUCUGUAGAGCUACCUUUCAAAACCACACAAGACCUGCCUGCAGAUGCUAAAGUGGUGUGGUGGAACAAUGAUGACAGGAAGGUCCACAUGUAUAAGAACGGCUCUGAUCAGCCUGGAGAACAGCACCAGGUUUACAGAGACCGAACAAAGAUGAAGAGAAGAUCUCUGCUGAAGUCUGGAGACCUCAGUCUGACCCUGAAACAGCCCACAGAGAGAGACAGUGGGAGGUACAGCUGUAGAGUCUACGGGGAGAUCAAGAGAUACAAAAGAGUGCUGCUCAGAGUCAAAGGGAGAGUUCAGGUCCAGUAUCACACAGCAGACAUCAGGAACAGAAGCAGCUCCAUUGAUCUGACUCCUCUGAUGACUGAUCAAUCAGUUUGAUCUGUGCGUUUGUGCAUUUUUCUAUCUUAAAUGUCCUGUAUAUUGACUGUUACCUGUAAUGCCACUUUCUGACCAACAGCUGGCACUCUUACAAAUACCAGAUCUGAUUUGACUGCAGUUAUAUCAGAGGAGGAAUGCUUGUCCAGUCACACCUGCAGUGACGUGUAACACUGAUCGCUAAUGAAUUGAUACACGUUACGUAUUAAGCAGAAUAUUGGGCAAGUAUUAAUCUGAAGAUUUAAGAACUGCUACUGGAGCUGAUGCUCAGUAAUAAAUAAAUACACACAACACAAAAUGCUUUUGCAGGUACCAUGUAUGUACAAAACCAAGGAAAAAUAAGGGAAGAAGAGGAAAGAUUUAAACAAUCACUCCUGCUGCAGUAGUUCAAUCAAAACAGUGACAACUAAAUAGUCCUGUAGCUUAGAUCAAGCAAAACAGAUUCUCAAGUUCAAUUAAAUUUCCUAUAAAUCACACACCACAAUAUCAAAAACACUGGUCCACACUGAAGAGGAAAUGUCCAUGAGUUUUAUCUGAGUGUCCAUGAUGUCCAAGCGCUAUUGUCCAUAAACGGGGGAAAUAAUGUGUAUGGUUGUGGAAAUCAGUGAAAUUUAAUAAUGAGUUCAGAGAGGGGGACAGAGCGUCAUCUUUGACAACUUCCUACCAGACCAAGCAGAAGUGGAAGCUUCAAUGCAAUCGAGUUGAUUUUGGUAAAUAUAUUUGAUCUGAAAACGUGAAAAACUUUGCUUUUCAUAAUGUAAAUAUCAUUACAGUAUAUAACUUUAGAAAUACUUCCUUUUGACUUAAAUUUAAAAAAAAAAAUAAAUUUAUUUUUAAAAUAAAGCACUCCAGCCUCUUCUGUUCCAUGUGAGAGGAUUUUCUGUAAGGCAGGAGAAAUUAUCUCCAAGAAAAGAAACAGACUCGGCCAUCACACAGCUGGUGUUCUUUAUUUUAUUUUGUACAACCAUUUAAAAAUACUACGAUAACUACAUGCGAGAACAAUCGGGUGUCACAAUAAAAUGUUUCACAAAUUAUUUCAGUCAGUAAAAACAAACAAACAAAAAAAAAUUGUCCGCCACAAGACGGAGGAGAACACCACAGGGAUAAAUCCUGCAGGCGGCGGUCCUAGCCUCUUUGGCGCCCUGGGCGAACACUCCCUCUGGCUUUGAACUUUUCUUGUCCAUCUUCCAUUGGUUUUAGUUUUGCACUCCAGUGUGAACACUCAUCCCCCAACCUGAAGAUCACCACAACAAAACCUAAUAGACCUACACCUUAGUUCACAGAUUCGCUUUGUCUCUGGUUUAUUUCUGGGAUUUCGCAUAACUCAUGAUUCAAAUCAUGAAUCCAUAAUGGGCUUGGAUUUACAACAUUAUGAAUGAAAUGUGCUCUAUUUGGAAGCAGCAGGUCUCCCUCCCAUACACCUGAAAGUCCUGAAAACGCAUUGUGAAUUCUGUCUCGAGUCUACGGAUGUAUCUGUUUAUGUCCGCGGUGCUGAUGCUGCGCUGAGCGGACAGUUCCUGAAGCAUUUGAAGUGUCGGAAUGUGGAAAUUUCAAUAUAGCUAAUUUGCAAUGUGCACCGCUGGCCCAGCUAUUUUUUUUAAUGCACCUGCUCAGAUUAACUCACUGCGUGUCGUGCCCAGGGCUGGACUGGGACAAAAAUUCAGCCCGGGCAUUUUGACUAGAGACCAGCCCACCAGGUAUUAAAGCCAUAAAGCCUUUGAAUGAAAACAAACGCUGUUGUGACAGUGAUGUACACUGUCUUGUUGGUAUAUGUAUGAUUUCUAUACAUUUUACAUCAGAUAAAAACUUUGGUUGUAAAAUUCAGAUAAUUAUUUAUUAAAAACGAGACAUUUUAAAUGAGAAUAAGAAAGUAUUUCUUUGUGUCCACCUUUCCCUGUUAAUGCCCUACCUGGCCCCCCUGGCAACACUUUGCUAGACCCGCCCCUGCACAGUUACCAGCUGUCAGCUACGUAGAAAAGGAUCCUGGUGUUAUUUGUCUCUCAGAAACAGUUCAUAACUUCCCUUCAACUCAUCCAUGUCACCUAAAAGGUAAACCUGUUUCUACAUCACCUGUUCAGCUCUGAUGAUUCAGUAAGGACAUCUCCUGGUUUCAUCUUCAUGUUUCCCUCUCACCAGAUAACCAAACCGAUAUCAUGACCAGCAGCUUUACAGCUGUGGCUCCAGCAAACCUCAGCUGAUACUAGAAAGUAAUAUUAAAUAAAUUCUAACAGCUGAUCAAGCUUAAACGUGCAGCUGUUGUUUAGCGCAACAUCCGCUGGUUUCCUCUUUCUGGCACAAAAUGGGCGAUAAAUAAACAAGAGAGAAAAGCUGAUCAGCUGAUCAUUGAUCAGUUUCAUGACUGAAGUAGGAACAGGAGAGGGAGGGGGAGAGAAUGAGAGGAGAAGAGGCAGCUGACAGCGUAAAGCAUUUUGCAGAAUAACUCCAGCUUUGUGUCUUUUUCAUUGUAGCUGAAGUACGGGACAAACUGUGUUCCUUUUCAGCUCAAUAUGAAACACGUAAUAUUUUCUCUGAAUGCGGGACGAUUCUGUUUUUUACUGGGCAGUUGGAAACUCUACUAACCUUAUGAAUAAAAUAAAGUUUACUAUCAGUAACAUCAUAGCACCCACCCAGCUGUAUAUAAACUCCGUCAUGCUAGCUAGUACGCAGUUCGAGUUAUUGUAACUGACUGUAAAACGUCCGCAUAAUGAAAAUAAACUCCACCUAAACUUGGUUUAUAUCUGACCCAGAUAGACUGCAGGUCAUAA
ensembl:lncRNA